rnacentral:rRNA from 1 species
CAAUAGCGUAUAUUAAAGUUGCUGCAGUUAAAAGCUCGUAGUUGGAUUUGUGGCGUGGUCGUCCGGCGGGGCUCCUUCAUUGGGGCCGUUUGUCUGGUUUUUCGACCGCACCAUUCUCGGGUAGUGUGUCGCUGGCAUUAGGUUGUCGGCUUCUUCACGCCCGUCGUUUACUGUGAAAAAUUAGAGUGUUCAAAGCAGGCUUAGGCCGUUGGAUACAUUAGCAUGGAAUAAUGAGAUAGGGCCACGACGGUCUAUUUUGUUGGUUUGCACGUUGUGGUAAUGAUUAACAGUAACGGUUGGGGGUAUUCGUAUUCAAUUGUCAGAGGUGAAAUUCUUGGAUCGCCGUAAGACGAACUACUGCGAAAGCAUUUGCCAAGCAUGUUUUCCUUAAUCAAGAACGAAAGUCAGAGGUUCGAAGACGAUUAGAUACCAU